rnacentral:rRNA from 1 species
CGGCACGGGUGCGUAACGCGUAUGCAACCUACCACCAACAGGGGGAUAACACUGAGAAAUUGGUACUAAUACCCCAUAAUAUCUCAUGCGGCAUCGCAUGGGGUUGAAAACUCCGGUGGUUGAUGAUGGGCAUGCGUUGUAUUAGCUGGUUGGUGAGGUAACGGCUCACCAAGGCGACGAUACAUAGGGGGACUGAGAGGUUAACCCCCCACAUUGGUACUGAGACACGGACCAAACUCCUACGGGAGGCAGCAG